rnacentral:lncRNA from 1 species
CUGGGAAGUAGGUGCCCUUCACAUCCCCUUUCUGCAGGAGCCUGCCAAGGUCAGGCAGCCGGCGAGGGAUGAGGCCACACCCGACCACGCGCGCAGCGGCCCACAGCCUGCGCCUUGCGCCCACCCCGCCGAAGGGGCCCCGGGAAUCCACGCCUGUAGCCGCGCGAGGACGGCCGUGGGAAGGGGGCGCGAGGAGCAGGUUGCCCCGGGCAUCCCCUGCUCGCGGACGCGCACUCCUUAGCCGGAACGUUCUGGAACCCCCCUGCGCAACCAGGGGCGGGGAAAGCCCAGGUCCGGCCGCGACCCCAUCCGGAAGAGCGUGGCCGCCUUAGAAGGUCCCUCGCGCCCACAAGUCGCGGGCGAGGGGCGCGCGCAUGGACAAGACCGCACUGUUUAGCGCACGCGCACACGAGGGCGCACGCUCGCCCGCCGCCCGGAAUGAGACGGAGGCAUGGAAAGUUCCAGCUGGUUCGAGAACCGUAGGAGCUUUCCGGCCCAGCAGUCCGUCAGGCCCCCGCGGUUCCCGCCCCUCCUGCGUCNCCGCGGGAGUCCCUGGAAGGUCCGCGGGAGGACACGCGCGAGCGCCCGGCCCCGCUCCCGCCGUCGCGAAGCUGCCUCGUCGCCGGCCCCGCCGCCGUCGCCGCCCGCUCUGCCUCCACACUAGCGCCCGCCGGCCGCCCCGGAGCCGUCCGCGCUCAAUAAAAUGUUCUCCACAGCGUGUUCGUGCAGUUUUCUGGACUACCGGGCGCUUAUAACCGAUCUCACGUUAAAAAAUCUUUGACUUCUCUUUUUCUGACUUCAGCGAAAAUCCUGCUCCGGGUGCCCUUAGCCCAGUUUCAUUCAUCCAAGUUGUGGCCUUUUUUGCGCCUUCCGGAAGAAACUUUUCUCCCCCUGCUUUUGAUUGAUCUUGAGGUAGGGGAUUUCAGGUUUGGAGGGAUGCUAAGCGAACCUGCCGCCCGUUCGUUGCAAGUGAUGGUGUGGCCGAGGACAGGGCCCCGCGGCCCGGAGGCAGCUCUUCGUCCUCUGUUCUGGGUCAGGUACUCCACAAGUCUUCUCCGAAAUCCCCAUUCUUCCCGUGAAUUCGGUAACGUAGAGCGUGGUGUGUGACCCCCAACCCCCGCCCAG